GUGAGCCGUAUGAUGGGCAACUAUCUCCUGCGGUUCGGAGAGGACUCACCGUUGACAGUAGAUAGGUUUUACUAAAUCAAAAUUGUGGUUCUUUACUUAUUUAUUUUAGAUUUACAAUUCUAAGAUUUAGACUCAUUCUAA
rnacentral:ncRNA from 1 species